rnacentral:rRNA from 1 species
UACGUAGGGGGCAAGCGUUGUCCGGAGUUACUGGGCGUAAAGCGUGCGCAGGCGGUUUUGCAAGCCGGAUGUGAAAUCCCCGGGCUCAACCUGGGAAUGGCAUUCGGGACUGCAAGGCUGGAGUGCGGCAGAGGAGACUGGAAUUCCUGGUGUAGCAGUGAAAUGCGUAGAUAUCAGGAGGAAUACCGAUGGCGAAGGCAGGUCCCUGGGCUGACACUGACGCUCAUGCACGAAAGCGUGGGGAGCAAACAGG